rnacentral:rRNA from 1 species
UACGUAGGGGGGCAAGCGUUGUCCGGAUUUAUUGGGCGUAAAGAGCGUGUAGGCGGCCAGACAGGUCAGCUGUGAAAACUCGAGGCUCAACCUCGAGACGUCGGUUGAAACCGUUUGGCUAGAGUCCGGAAGAGGAGAGUGGAAUUCCCGGUGUAGCGGUGAAAUGCGCAGAUAUCGGGAAGAACACCCGUGGCGAAGGCGGCUCUCUGGGACGGUACUGACGCUGAGACGCGAAAGCGUGGGGAGCGAACAGG